CAGUCGAACGAAGCACUUUAAUCGAUUUCUUCGGAUUGAAAUUUUAGUGACUGUUUGGCGGACGGGUGAGUAACGCGUGGGUAACCUGCCUCACACAGGGGGAUAACAGUUGGAAACGGCUGCUAAUACCGCAUAAGCGCACAGUACCGCAUGGUACAGUGUGAAAAACUCCGAUGGUGUGAGAUGGACCCGCGUCUGAUUAGCUAGUUGGCAGGGCAACGGCCUACCAAGGCGACGAUCAGUAGCCGACCUGAGAGGGUGACCGGCCACAUUGGGACUGAGACACGGCCCAAACUCCUACGGGAGGCAGCAGUGGGGAAUAUUGCACAAUGGGGGAAACCCUGAUGCAGCGACGCCGCGUGAGCGAAGAAGUAUUUCGGUAUGUAAAGCUCUAUCAGCAGGGAAGAAGAAAUGACGGUACCUGACUAAGAAGCACCGGCUAAAUACGUGCCAGCAGCCGCGGUAAUACGUAUGGUGCAAGCGUUAUCCGGAUUUACUGGGUGUAAAGGGAGCGCAGGCGGAAGGCUAAGUCUGAUGUGAAAGCCCGGGGCUCAACCCCGGUACUGCAUUGGAAACUGGUCAUCUAGAGUGUCGGAGGGGUAAGUGGAAUUCCUAGUGUAGCGGUGAAAUGCGUAGAUAUUAGGAGGAACACCAGUGGCGAAGGCGGCUUACUG
rnacentral:rRNA from 1 species